GACGAACGCUGGCGGCGUGCCUAAUACAUGCAAGUCGAGCGGACCACUUCGGUGGUCAGCGGCGGACGGGUGAGUAACACGUGGGCAACCUGCCUGUAAGACGGGGAUAACACCGGGAAACCGGUGCUAAUACCGGAUAAUUCUUUCCUUCACAUGAAGGAAAGCUGAAAGACGGUUUCGGCUGUCACUUACAGAUGGGCCCGCGGCGCAUUAGCUAGUUGGUGAGGUAACGGCUAACCAAGGCGACGAUGCUUAGCCGACCUGAGAGGGGGGGCGGCCAGCCUGGGACUGAGACACGGCCCAGACUCCUACGGGAGGCAGCAGUAGGGAAUCUUCCGCAAUGGACGAAAGUCUGACGGAGCAACGCCGCGUGAGCGAUGAAGGCCUUCGGGUCGUAAAGCUCUGUUGUCAGGGAAGAACAAGUACCGGAGUAACUGCCGGUACCUUGACGGUACCUGACCAGAAAGCCACGGCUAACUACGUGCCAGCCGCCGCCGUAACAC
rnacentral:rRNA from 1 species